GUUGGUUUUCAGGGCAGGGUGUAAUUCCCGACCGGCGGUACAGUCCGCUACCCAGUUUUUACUGGUUGAAUAGGUGAAACUCCUAUACCGAUAGUUAAAGUCUAGAUGGAAGAAAACAGAG
rnacentral:ncRNA from 2 species